rnacentral:misc_RNA from 1 species
UUUCCGUAGGUGAACCUGCGGAAGGAUCAUUAUUGCAUAUUCUUGAUGGGUUGUAGCUGGCUCUCCGGGUCAUGUGCACACUUGUCUUGACUCUAUUCGUCCACCUGUGCACCUUUUGUAGUCUUGGGGGUUGAGAGCAGUCGACUAUCGGAUGGCUAUGGCCUUUCCGGACGUGAGGAUUGCUGAGUGCGAAAGCAUACAGCUCUUCUUAAAUGACUUGCAAAACCUCUCCCUCGAGUACUAUGUAUUCAUAUGCCACAUAGUAUGUUGUAGAAUGUGAUCAAUGGGCCUAUGUGCCUAUAAUAAUAAUAUACAACUUUCAGCAACGGAUCUCUUGGUUCUG